UGUACUUGUUCGUUGCCACAGUUUGGAAUUUUAUAUUCGUUUAGUAAAACGUAUUGCAAUUAUAGAUUCUUCGAUUUGAUUGCUUUUUUAGUUUUAUCGAUUAUAUUGGAAUAACGAUAUAAGUGGAUUUAAUAUUUCUAGUGUUUUUUAGGAGCGGGAGUGAGUGAGUGUGAGGUAAAACAUUAAAAAUUGUGUUAAUGUGUGACCGAUUGACGAAGUAUAUAAGUAUGUAUGUAUGUAGGUCCGACUUCUAUUUCUAGAUCAAUUUUGUUUUGUGAGGUGCAUGCACAAAUGUGAGCAAACUUUUUCAAGGUCAUCUCGAAGCAACAACAACACAGCAUGUGCGCGCUCAUAAAAGAAUUUAUAUAAAAGAAAAAAGAAAUUUUUAUAUUGUAUAUUUCUACGAAAAAUAAUAAAUAAAUUUUAUACUAUUAACCACAAAAAAAACAUGCAUCUUCUUCCUUUCUUUCUCAUGCUAGAAAAUAAAUAAAAA